UACGUAGGUGGCAAGCGUUGUCCGGAUUUACUGGGCGUAAAGAGCGCGCAGGCGGUCGUUCAAGUCGCGUGUGAAAGCCCCCGGCUCAACUGGGGAGGGUCACGCGAUACUGAUCGACUCGAAGGCAGGAGAGGGAAGUGGAAUUCCUGGUGUAGCGGUGAAAUGCGCAGAUAUCAGGAGGAACACCAAUGGCGAAGGCAGCUCGCUGGGACGGUACUGACGCUGAGGCGCGAAAGCGUGGGGAGCAAACCGG
rnacentral:rRNA from 1 species